UUUCCGUAGGUGAACCAGCGGAAGGAUCAUUAUUGGAUUUCGAAACUUCCGACUCCUUCGUGAACUUACCGCUGGACAUGUGCAUCCUUGUUGUCCACUAUUUCCCCUACUGUGCACACAUUGUAGACUUUACAGCACGCCUAUGUUACUCUUCACAUUCUUUAAUUAUGCCAGACUGAUUAUUGUACUUGAGUAAUACAAAACAACUUACAACAACGGACCUCUUUCUUCCAGCAUCGAUGAAGACAGCAGCAGAGCGGAGGAGCACACGUCACAACC
rnacentral:misc_RNA from 1 species